AGGUAAGCUACUAAGAGCGAAUGGUGGAUGCCUUGACUGGUAAAGGCGAUGAAGGACGUACUAGACUGCGAUAAGCUACGGGGAGCUGUCAAGAAGCUUUGAUCCGUAGAUUUCCGAAUGGGGCAACCCAAUGUAUAGAGAUAUACAUUACCUAUAUAGGAGCGAACGAGGGGAAUUGAAACAUCUUAGUACCCUCAGGAAAAGAAAUCAAUAGAGAUUGCGUCAGUAGCGGCGAGCGAAAGCGCAAGAGGGCAAACCCAGUGCUUGCACGUGGGGGUUGUAGGACUGCAAUGUGCAAGAGGUGAGUUUAGCAGAACAUUCUGGAAAGUAUAGCCAUAGAGGGUGAUAGUCCCGUAUGACGAAAAACAAACCUUAGCUAGCAGUAUCCUGAGUAGGGCGGGACACGAGAAAUCCUGUCUGAAGCCGGGUCGACCACGAUCCAACCCUAAAUACUAAUACCAGAUCGAUAGUGCACAAGUACCGUGAGGGAAAGGUGAAAAGAACUGAGGUGAUCAGAGUGAAAUAGAACCUGAAACCAUUUGCUUACAAUCAUUCAGAGCACUAUGUAGCAAUACAGUGUGAUGGACUGCCUUUUGCAUAAUGAGCCUGCGAGUUGUGGUGUCUGGCAAGGUUAAGCAAACGCGAAGCCGUAGCGAAAGCGAGUCUGAAUAGGGCGCUUAGUCAGAUGCUGCAGACCCGAAAACGAAGUGAUCUAUCCAUGAGCAAGUUGAAGCUAGUGUAAGAACUAGUGGAGGACUGAACCCAUAGGCGUUGAAAAGCCCCGGGAUGACUUGUGGAUAGGGGUGAAAGGCCAAUCAAACUUCGUGAUAGCUGGUUCUCUCCGAAAUAUAUUUAGGUAUAGCGUUGUGUCGUAAUAUAAGGGGGUAGAGCACUGAAUGGGCUAGGGCAUACACCAAUGUACCAAACCCUAUCAAACUCCGAAUACCUUAUAUGUAAUCACAGCAGUCAGGCGGCGAGUGAUAAAAUCCGUCGUCAAGAGGGAAACAACCCAGACUACCAGCUAAGGUCCCUAAAUCUUACUUAAGUGGAAAACGAUGUGAAGUUACUUAAACAACCAGGAGGUUGGCUUAGAAGCAGCCAUCCUUUAAAGAAAGCGUAAUAGCUCACUGGUCUAGUGAUUUUGCGCGGAAAAUAUAACGGGGCUAAAGUAAGUACCGAAGCUGUAGACUUGACUUUGUCAAGUGGUAGGAGAGCGUUCUAUUUGCGUCGAAGGUAUACCGGUAAGGAGUGCUGGAGCGAAUAGAAGUGAGCAUGCAGGCAUGAGUAGCGAUAAUUAAUGUGAGAAUCAUUAACGCCGUAAACCCAAGGUUUCCUACGCGAUGCUCGUCAUCGUAGGGUUAGUCGGGUCCUAAGUCGAGUCCGAAAGGGGUAGACGAUGGCAAAUUGGUUAAUAUUCCAAUACCAACAUUAGUGUGCGAUGGAAGGACGCUUAGGGCUAAGGGGGCUAGCGGAUGGAAGUGCUAGUCUAAGGUCGUAGGUGCUUAUACAGGCAAAUCCGUAUAAGAAUACACCGAGAACUGAAAGGCUUUUUGAAGUCUUCGGAUGGAUAGAAGAACCCCUGAUGCCGUCGAGCCAAGAAAAGUUUCUAAGUUUAGCUAAUGUUGCCCGUACCGUAAACCGACACAGGUGGGUGGGAUGAGUAUUCUAAGGCGCGUGGAAGAACUCUCUUUAAGGAACUCUGCAAAAUAGCACCGUAUCUUCGGUAUAAGGUGUGGUUCGCUUCGUAUUAGGAUUUACUCCGAAAGCGAAGAAACUUACAACAAAGAGUCCCUCCCGACUGUUUACCAAAAACACAGCACUCUGCUAACUCGUAAGAGGAUGUAUAGGGUGUGACGCCUGCCCGGUGCUCGAAGGUUAAUUGAUGGGGUUAGCAUUAGCGAAGCUCUUGAUCGAAGCCCGAGUAAACGGCGGCCGUAACUAUAACGGUCCUAAGGUAGCGAAAUUCCUUGUCGGUUAAAUACCGACCUGCAUGAAUGGCGUAACGAGAUGGGAGCUGUCUCAAAGAGGGAUCCAGUGAAAUUGUAGUGGAGGUGAAAAUUCCUCCUACCCGCGGCAAGACGGAAAGACCCCGUGGACCUUUACUACAGCUUGACACUGCUACUUGGAUAAGAAUGUGCAGGAUAGGUGGGAGGCUUUGAGUAUAUGACGCCAGUUGUAUAUGAGCCAUUGUUGAGAUACCACUCUUUCUUAUUUGGGUAGCUAACCAGCUUGAGUUAUCCUCAAGUGGGACAAUGUCUGGUGGGUAGUUUGACUGGGGCGGUCGCCUCCCAAAUAAUAACGGAGGCUUACAAAGGUUGGCUCAGAACGGUUGGAAAUCGUUCGUAGAGUAUAAAGGUAUAAGCCAGCUUAACUGCAAGACAUACAAGUCAAGCAGAGACGAAAGUCGGUCUUAGUGAUCCGGUGGUUCUGUGUGGAAGGGCCAUCGCUCAAAGGAUAAAAGGUACCCCGGGGAUAACAGGCUGAUCUCCCCCAAGAGCUC
rnacentral:rRNA from 1 species